CAAGCGGUUUGUUUACAAACCGCAUACGAUAAACGAUGUUUGCCGUUUACGGCAAACUCGAAGAUAAACAGUGAGGCUGAAUUCCUGCCGAGCUGUUUAUCGUAC
ncrna:Treponema denticola ATCC 35405 TD-2 RNA